UUAGUUAGAGCUCCAACUAACUCAACUAGUAUUUUAUACUUAAAAUACAUAAUUAGAAUAUACGGAGAAGGAAAAUUUUAAAGUUUGGAAUUAUUGUAUUUGAAUGGUUAAAUUUUCAAUUGGAGAGGCAGGCAAUUUAUAAUUUUAUAUGGUUUUCGUGGUCACUCAAAUGGCCUAAAGGCCUCUUCAAAACAUUGGUGAUUAUUUAGAUAGCAUUUCAAACAAAUAGAUGUGCUUUUUUCUUAAUUGAAAGUAGACAUCUAUUAACUUGUUCAAAGACAUCGAUUAGGAAAAAUAGAAAUUGUAAAGAAUGGUUUGUUGAAUUUUGUGUGGCCCAGUUGAUCUAAUAUGGACUGAGAUGUGUGGCCCACAACUUGGAGACCUAAACUGGUGAUCCAACAAGUUAAAGUCUCUAGAAUGUGGGAACUGACUUUUAACUAAAACGCGUUUUUUGUUUCAAAAUUACACUUCUACUGGAUUAUUGACGCGUGGCAAAUGAUGGACCGUUGGAUGAUUAAAAUUUGUCCCACUCAUAUAAAAGGGACAUGAGAGGUCAUUAGGGUUUCAGAUUAUUCAUUCGAGAAGCUUCUCUUUUCUUCGAGUUUUUUUAUCUUUUCUGUACUUUGGUUGUUCUCUAUUAGAUCUUGUGUGAUUUGUUUAGAGAAGGUGAAAAUAAAUGAACUCUUAUGUUAGUUCAUUGUGUCGUGAGAGGAUUUUGUGCUGGUUGUGAAUCUGAAACUGUGUGUUCUCUGUAACUCGAAACUCUUUGCCCAUCUUUGUGCAGUUUAUAGUGAAUUAGAGCUUAAUCUUAACAGAUGCUCAACGAGGAUUAGUGUUAGAAGUGGUUGCUGAACCUCGAGGGGUUGAUAUUACUGUUGUUUGAGAUUGCUCUCCUUCGAAGGUACAUGCUGACUUUGUCCCUUGUAGCUGACUAGGUGUAAGCAUAUUUGUUUAAUAACUCCAUUUUAUCUGUUAAUCUGUGAAUUAACUUCUGUAUACAUGUAUCCUUGACAUUAGAAUAUUUAGCAUUAUCUUUGAUCACUGUGAUAUACUGUUGGCUGAAUCAUACAUGUAUAUACUCACAUACUGUUGCAUACCAAAAUAAUGAGUCUAAUUGCGUAUGUGUCUUUAUCAGAAAGUUCUGAUCAAGACUUGGUCUUAGAUUCAGGCUGAUCCUUUCAUAUGACUCCCAAUAUUGGCUAUCUUACUGACUAUUCUAGUCUUGAUGGAGGGUCCUUGAAACUUGGGAAUGAUCAAUCAUGUCAAGUAAAGGGUAUUGGUAAUGUGUUGCUGAAAUUUAAAAAUGGUCAUCACAUACACACAAGAUAUGUGCCAGCACUUAGAAAAACCUCAUAUUCCUGGGAGUUCUUGAUGAUGAAAAUUAUCAAAUUGAAAUGAAGAAUGGUUUUACAUAUAUAACAAGAAAUCAAGAACUUAUUGUCAAUUUACCCAAACUUAAUGGAAUUUAUGUAAUACAUGCUAAAAUCAUUUUUUCUAAUAAUGCUGUGAAUUUUGUCACACAUCCUGAUAAAUCAUAAUUAGGACAUAAAAGACUUAACCAUCUGAGUGAAAAAUAUUUAAAAACUCUGUCAUAUCAAGAGGCAUUUGGGAAAGAUAGUGUUCAAAAAUUAACCUUUUGUGAACACUGCAUAAUGGGAAAACAAGUCAGACUACCCUUUACAUAAAGGCAGCAUAAGUUCCAAGAUGUCCUUGAAUACAUGCAUUCUGAUUUACGAGGACCUACCCCUAUACCUACAGUAUUUGGUUACAGAUAUUAUCUUCUUACCACUGAUGAUUACUCAAAGAAAACAUGGAUUUUCUUAUUAAAGUCUAAAUAUGAUACUUUUGUAACUUUUAAAGAAUGGAACGUAUUGAUUGAAAAUCAGAUAGGUAAGAAAAUAAAAAUCUUAAGAACUGAUGAUGGGCUUCUGCAAUUUAGAAUUUGAUCAAUAUUGUAAUAAACAAGGAAUUAUGAAACAUAAAAUAGUAAGUUAUAUCCUCACCAAAAUGGAGUUGUUGAGAGGUUGAAUAGAACCAUUCUUGAGAGGACAAGAUGUAUGCUACUUAGCUCUGGCCUUCCAAAAAAAUUUUGGGGAGAGGCAGUAAAAAUUGCCUGUUAUUUGAUCAAUAGAUGUCCUUUCAGCUCUCUAAAUAAUAGGAUCCAUGAACAAAUCUGGUCAGGCACAAUGCCAAACUAUUCUUAUCUUAGAACCUAAAAAUUCAAAACUGGACCCUAGAUCAUUGAAAGGUGUGUUCUUGGGAUAUGAAAAAGGAGUUGGAAGGCUAUAGAUCGUGGUUAAGAGAUGUAAGGGGUUAUAAAGUGAUAAUAAGUAGAUGACUUUCCUUGUCUUAGUGACAAAUUUGGAAAGAAAUUAGGAAAAUAUGACUUUGUUAUCACUAAAAUAAACCUGAAUAGGGAGCCUUUUAAUGACCAGCUCAAUUUGAGGUGAAGCCACAAGAAAUAGAACCACAAAAUGUGUCUGAUGUUGAAAUAUUAGAAGAUGAGUAGUAUCUGAAGCCUACAUAUGACCUGCAGGACUACCAGCUUACUAGAGAUAGAGAAAAGAGGCAAAUAAGACCUUCUUCUAGGUAUCAAUAUGCUGAUUUUGUGUCUGCCUAGUCUGAACCUAAUCCGUUUGACAUAGAACCCACUUCUUAUAAAGAAGCUGUUUCUUGCAAAGAAUCUCCUAAGUGGAUUGCUACAAUAGAAGAUGAAAUGAACUGCCUCUAUAAAAAUGAAACAUGGAUCUUAGUUGAAAAACCUAAAGAAUGUAAAUUGAUUGAUUGUGAAUGGGUCUAUAAGAUCAAAGAGGGUGAGACUAAGACAAACAAUAAAAUGUUUAAGGCAAGACUUGUAGCAAAAGACUUCACACAAAGAGAAUGGAAAGAUUACACCGAAAUCUUUUCACCAGUUGUCAAAUAUACAUCAAUCAGUGUAUUACUUGCUAUAGUGACAUAGUUUGACUUAGAGUUAGAACAACUUGACGUGAAAACUACCUUAAUGUAUGGUUUCUUAGAUGAAACCAUAUAUAUGAUUCAACCAAAAGGGUUUGAGAUAAAAGAAAGAGGGAACUUUGUAUGUCUCUUGAAAAAGUCAUUGUGUGGCAUAUAAGAGAUUUGACUCUUUUACACAAUGACUAGAUUUUAAGAAAUCUGAUUAUGAUCCCUAUUUUUACUUUAAGAGAGAUGGAGAAUUUAAAUCUUUUUAUCUUCUCUUGUAUAUAGAUGAUAUGCUCCUUACUAGUCACAAUUCUAUUACACUUAACUCAAUUAAAGAAAAGUUGAAAUAUAAAUUUAAAAUGAAAUAUUUAGGACCAGCUCGAAAAAUAUUGGGCAUGGAAAUAAAAAGGGAUAUAAUAAAUGGAAAGUUGUUUCUAACACAAAAAUCUUAUGUUGAUGAGGUAGUUAAAAGAUUUUCUCCUCAUGAUGCUAAGCCUGUUAGUCUGCUUUUGUCUGCCGGUAUGAAAUUAUCUGUUGAUCAUUCACCUAAAUUUGAAAAUGAACAUAAAAGAAUGAUGAAUGUUUCAUAUUCUAAUGCUGUUGGAUCUGUAAUGUAUGUUAUGGUAUUUCCUAGACUUGAUAUUGCUUAUGAUGUGAGUGUGUUAAGCAGAUGUAUGAGUAACCCAAGUGAAUUACAUUAGCAAUGCAUGAAAAUUUUGAUUAAGUAUUUGAAAGGGACUAGUCAGUUAGGAUUAAUGUUUAAAACUGAUAAAAAUGGACUUAAACUAAAAGGUUAUGUGGACUCAGAUUUUGCUAGAAAUCAAGAUAAUAGAAAAUCCACAUCAGCUUAUUUUUAUGCCAUUAAUGAUACAUGCAUUAGCUGAAAAUCCCAACUUCAAAAACUGUUUGCAUUGUCUUCAAUUGACACUAAAUACAUUGCUGCCAGUGAGGCAAUAAAGAAAGGGCUAUGGUUGAAGGGUUUACUAGGUAAAUUAGGUCUUAUAGAAAAUCAGGAGGAGAUGUGUUCUAAUAAUCAAAGUGCGAUAUUUCUAAGUAAAAAUCCUAUUUUGCAUGAUAGAUCCAAGCAUAUAGAUCAAAAAAAUGUCAUUUUAUUAGAGAUAUUAUUGAUAGGGGUGACAUUAAAUUGAUUAAAAUUCCUACUGAGUUAAAUCAUAUAGAUGCUGGAACCAAGGUAAUCCCUAAUAGUAAGUUUACUGAUUCUUUGAGAUUGAUUAAUCUUGAAGAAUACUAACUUUGUGUUCUCAUGCAGGUGAUGAGAGCAAAUAAAGUUAGACUAAGUCUUUAAAUCCCAAAAUGCAGCAAAAGAUAGGGAUUGCAAAGAAUGGUUUGCUAAAUUUUGUGUGGCCCAGUUGAUCUAAAAUGGACUGAAAUGUGUGGCCCAAAACUUGGAGGCCCAAACUGUUGAUCCAACAAGUUGAAGUCUCUAGAAUGUAGGAACUGACUUUUAACUAAAUGCGUUUUUUGUUUCAAAAGAACACUUCUACUGGAUUAUUGACGCGUGGCAAAUGAUGGACCGUUGGAUGAUUAAAAUUUGUCCCACUCAUAUAAAAGGGACGUGAGAGGUCAUUAGGGUUUCAUAUUAUUCAUUUGAGCAGCUUUACUUUUCUUCGAGUUUUUCAUCUUCUCUGUACUUUGGUUGUUCUCUCUUAGAUCUUGUGUGAUUUGUUGAGAGAGUGAAAAUAAAUGAACUCUUAUGUGAGUUCAUCGUGUUGUGAGAGGAUUUUGUGGUGGUUGUGAAUAUGGAAUUGUGUGUUCUCUGUAACUCGAAACUCUUUGCCUAUUUUUGGGUGGUUUAUAGUGGAUUUGAGCUUAAUCCUUAA